GGUUUCCUGAGUGGUCGAUCCCUGAUGGUGCCGAGGAGCUGCAGAGAAAUGACCCACCCCACAGCUCUGCAACUUCCCCCGCGAGAUGCUCUUUCCUUUUGUGAAGGAAAACCGCUGUAGAAAUACCAGCAUGUCCUGCGGGAUGGGAAUUCUGUCUGACCAGCUCUGUUGGGGUGAAGAUCACUCUGGAGUUGUGUGCCAGCGUUCUCGAAGUGCUCUGCCGCUGGGAUCCCCAGAGGGAAAGUGACCGACCCUCCCAGAAUCCCGCUCAGCUCCAUCGCGCCUGCCUCUGCUCUGCCGUACCCUGCCCCAUGAGAGAGAAGAACAGGAGCCUUUAGGACCAGAUCGACCGCAUCACGGGGACACCAGGCCAGGUCCCCUCCCCAGCUCUUGUGACAUGUUCUCUCAAACACCAGGGGGCGCUGCUGUUCCCGGGCUGGGGGAGGGGACAGUUCCUUUUCCUAUGGAGCUGGGCCCAAACCCUCCCACAUCAUGGUGUCCAGCGCCUCGUGGCCGGGACCUUCAGCCCUGGGGCUGUGACUGGGCUAUUGCCGAGGGAGGGGCCACUUGUCAGAUUUGGAUCCGGGUCUGGCUUUUGAAUGCAUCAGCUAUUGGGGGGUAGAGAUCUGGGAGCAGCAGGAGGCUCUGACCCUUUGAUGUGGAGCAGCCACUAGAUGGGGACAAAGGCCCUCCCUGUCUGGAGUGGGUUGCAGCUGUUACAGGGGUUUUUCUGCAGAGCCUCACGGGAGGCUGUUGAUCUCAUUACAGCCCAUUGAAGGCUGAUGCUGUCUAUCAGAUGUCCACACUGUGACGAAGUGGGACCGUUCUUAAUGUUUCCUCUGAAUAGUGUGGGGGUGCCUCAGUUUCCCCUAGGCAGUUCUUAAGUAUCUAGGGGGUGGAGUAAGGGUGUAUGAUCAUUGCAGAGCCCUAGAGGGCAGGUGUGUGCAGGAGUCUGGACACAGAGAAUGGCCGACACCCUGUUUCCUGGCAACUGAUGGCCUGGGCCCUUCCCCCCUGCAAGGUGAGAGCUAAAGGGUUGGAGAACAAAGGAAUCAGGUGACCACCUGGCCCGGGAAAGGAACAAAGCCCAGAGGAGGAGGGGCUGGAGGGGGUUUUCAGUUUGGGGCUGGCUGGGACAUGGAGUGAAGUGCAGACGUGGUUGUC